AACGAACGCUGGCGGCAUGCCUAACACAUGCAAGUCGAACGAGAACUUCGGGUCUAGUGGCGCACGGGUGCGUAACGCGUGGGAACCUGCCCUUAGGUUCGGAAUAACUCCCCGAAAGGGGUGCUAAUACCGGAUAAUGUCUUCGGACCAAAGAUUUAUCGCCUUUGGAUGGGCCCGCGUUGGAUUGGCUAGUUGGUAGGGUAAAAGCCUACCAAGGCGACGAUCCAUAGCUGGUCUGAGAGGAUGAUCAGACACACUGGGACUGAGACACGGCCCAGACUCCUACGGGAGGCAGCAGUGGGGAAUAUUGGACAAUGGGCGAAAGCCUGAUCCAGCAAUGCCGCGUGAGUGAUGAAGGCCUUAGGGUUGUAAAGCUCUUUUACCCGGGAUGAUAAUGACAGUACCGGGAGAAUAAGCUCCGGCUAACUCCGUG
rnacentral:rRNA from 1 species